AGAUGAGACAGCAAAUGGCCUCCAGUCACCAAAGGCUAAAUAGCCCCAUGACAGCUUAAGGGAGAUAUUUUAGUUAGUUCAGAUAGUUCUGUUUUCCAUCAUGCUGACCCUGGUCUUGGGCUGAUCACCUCCACUCAUGGGGAAGCCACUGAUUCACAAAAGAUACCAACCUUUAACAGCAGUUUCCUGCUUGAAAGUUGUGCAGAGAUAUUGAACCUUCAGAGCCAGAACUCUGCCAAGAUGCCUCAAUCAGAUAUAUUCAGGCAAUGAUUUAAUUUCUUUCUU